CCCUCCGCGCUCUGGAGGCUUUGUGUUGCUUUCGCUGAAGCCUGGAGAGCGAGAGGGGUUAGUGCGCACCGACCCCUCUCGCUCUCCAGGCUUCAGGGAUAGCCGCCUGAAGCCUCUGGAGCGCAGCGGG
rnacentral:miRNA from 1 species